ACUCCUACGGGAGGCAGCAGUAGGGAAUCUUCCACAAUGGGCGCAAGCCUGAUGGAGCAACACCGCAUGAGUGAAGAAGGGUUUCGGCUCGUAAAGCUCUGUUGUUAAAGAAGAACACGUAUGAGAGUAACUGUUCAUACGUUGACGGUAUUUAACCAGAAAGUCACGGCUAACUACGUGCCAGCAGCCGCGGUAAUACGUAGGUGGCAAGCGUUAUCCGGAUUUAUUGGGCGUAAAGAGAGUGCAGGCGGUUUUCUAAGUCUGAUGUGAAAGCCUUCGGCUUAACCGGAGAAGUGCAUCGGAAACUGGAUAACUUGAGUGCAGAAGAGGGUAGUGGAACUCCAUGUGUAGCGGUGGAAUGCGUAGAUAUAUGGAAGAACACCAGUGGCGAAGGCGGCUACCUGGUCUGCAACUGACGCUGAGACUCGAAAGCAUGGGUAGCGAACAGGAUUAGAUACCCUGGUAGGAUAGCG
rnacentral:rRNA from 1 species